rnacentral:misc_RNA from 1 species
CUAAGGAAAAGCCGGCCCGUCCGAUCGGGCCGCGGACACGACGAAGCCGCCGCCGGCGCAUCCCUUCUCGACAGCCAAUCCAAGAUGAACCGGGCAUUUCAAAGUGCCCGUUCAUGAUGGCUGCCGGGAAGUGGUAAGGCGUUGCUUUCGAAGCGACGCGGAUCUUUGAAAAUCGUGAAUAAAGUCGAGAAUAGUGACCGAGGAUGCAUCUUCAUGAGCGUCCGGGCACAAGGGGCGGUUUGUCCCUGUGCGCGACGUUCGCGAGAAGG